ensembl:misc_RNA Metazoa_SRP Metazoan signal recognition particle RNA
GCUGGGCGUAGUGGCGGGUGCCUGUAAUCCCAGCUACUUGGGAGGCUGAGGCAGAAGAAUUGCUUGAACCCAGGAGGCGGAGGUUGCAGUGAGCCAAGAUGGCGCCACUGCACUCCAGCCUGGGUGACAGAGUGAGACUCCGUCUCAA